rfam:Pseudomonas sp. TRMO17WK12:I11 isolate Yellow genome assembly, chromosome: 1
UACGCGAUGCCGAAUUCGGGUCGCGUAAUGACUUACUUGCUGAUAUCUCAGGAGUUAUGACCAUGACU